rnacentral:rRNA from 1 species
AUUGAACGCUGGCGGCAUGCUUUACACAUGCAAGUCGAACGGUAACAGGUUAAGCUGACGAGUGGCGAACGGGUGAGUAAUGCAUCGGAACGUGCCCGGUCGUGGGGGAUAACGCAGCGAAGGCUGCGCUAAUACCGCAUACGAUCUGAGGAUGAAAGCGGGGGACCGUAAGGCCUCGCGCGAUCGGAGCGGCCGAUGUCAGAUUAGGUAGUUGGUGGGGUAAAGGCUCACCAAGCCAACGAUCUGUAGCUGGUCUGAGAGGACGACCAGCCACACUGGGACUGAGACACGGCCCAGACUCCUACGGGGGGCAGCAGUGGGGAAUUUUGGACAAUGGGCGAAAGCCUGAUCCAGCAAUGCCGCGUGCAGGAAGAAGGCCUUCGGGUUGUAAACUGCUUUUGUACGGAGCGAAAAGGUCUCCUCUAAUACAGGGGGCUCAUGACGGUACCGUAAGAAUAAGCACCGGCUAACUACGUGCCAGCAGCCGCAGUAA